rnacentral:rRNA from 1 species
GACGCAUAUUGCACGUCGUGGGACCUACCAUGACGAACACAUACUUGAG